GCAAAUAUGUCACAACUAAAAGCCCUCAAUUUCCCUAUCUCUCUGCUUUCAUUCAUCUUGCGCUUAAUUAUUACUCACCAUUUUUUUUAAAUUUCGGUUGAGUUCGCCCUCAAAUCCAGUUCAGCUCUGAUGCGAUCACAAUGAGAGGUUUUUCUGGGCUUUCUCAGUUGAGACGGAGAUGCUCGUUGUUUGCUUCUGCUUCAAAAGUUAAUGGGGCUACAAAUGGUUGUCGUUCUUAUCAGUUCCAUUCGUCCAUAAAUAACUUUGAGAUCAAUUCUAACCCGAGUAGUCUUCAGCAUCUUUCUACUAGCAUUCGACCGGGGGUCUUAUGGGAACACUCCUCUUAUGACACCCUAUUGAAAAAACUUGAAAUUUCUAUGGAAAAUGGUUCGGAAGAAGAAACAUUGGAGGCUUUCAAUAAUUUUAGAAGAUUGCAUGGUUUCCCAAAUCGCGAAUUGGUGAACAAAAUGGUUGUUAGCUUUUCGUACUCAUCAGACCGUCAGUGGCUUCGUAAAGCAUAUGAUUUAGUACUUUUAAUUCUAGACAAGAAGCCCAAUGUUCUUUAUCAUGACUCUUUAUCAAGGCUAGCUCUCACUCUUGCGAGAGCUCAGAUGCCGAUUCCUGCAUCCACGGUUCUAAGGGUUAUCUUGGAGAAAUUUAAGCUUCCGCCGAUAGAUUCAUGGAAUAUUUUGUUUUCCCACUUAGUCAAGACUAAAGUUGGGUCCUUUCUUGCAUCUGAAAUUUUGAUCGAAUUUUGUGAGUUUUGCUUGAAACACAAGUCGGAUGGAAAAAUUUCUAAGCAAAAUAAGGUUAUGUACCCGAGUACUAUCAUGUUCAACCUUGUUCUUAGUUCAUGUUUGCAAUUUAAGUCGUCGUUCAAGGCUCAACAUAUAAUAGAAAUUAUGUCUCAAUCGGAAGUUGUAGCUGAUGCGAGCACUAUAGUAAUUAUUGCUCGGAUAUAUGAAAUCUGUGGGCAACGUGACGAACUAAAGAAACUCCAAGCACACAUUGAUGCUGUUUCUUCUGUACUUCUAACUCGCCACUACCGAGAGUUUUAUGAUAGUCUGUUGAGCUUACACUUCAAAUUUAAUGAUCUUGAUUCUGCUUCAGAACUUGUGUUGGAUCUCUAUCGGCGGCCAAAAUUUUCUCAUCCGCGGUUACAAAAGCACUGUGUUUUUCAAAUAGGGUCGAGCAACCUUAACACGGGUUCUAAAAUUGUGGUUGAUCCUAGUAUGUUGCAGAAAGAUCUAAUUGUUGAUACCCAAAGUAAGUGUGAGUUUGUUCUCUUUGUUGAUGGGAAGCUUCUUCCUUCUAAUAAGGCUCUUGCGAAACUUGUAGAUGGUUAUGUGAAAGAAAAAAAUGUGACUAAGUUGUCAAAACUUUUGAUUGAUAUUCAAAAGGAGGUCGAUUCAGAAGAAGCCACUUUGUGUUCAGAUGUAAUAGAUGCUUGCAUUCAUCAAAGCUGGUUGGAGACUGCUCAUGACAUUAUAGAUGACUUGGAAUCAGCUACAAUUCCAGUGCAAGCCAGUACUUAUGAGUCAUUAUUGAGAUCUUACAUCAAAGAUAACAUGUUGGAUGAAUCGGAAUUGUUAUUAAAGCAGAUGAAAACAGCGGGUCAUUAUGUAAACUUGUCAGAUGAAAAUACCCUUCUUAAUAAGAGAACAGAGGAUCUGGUUGCCCUCAUAGACAGAGAAACUAGAGAGAAUAGUAUUGCGUCUUCUAUGAUUUAUGAGUUCAAUAACUCAAUUCUAUUCUUUUGCAAGGCCAAGAUGAUGGACGAUGCUUUGAAAACUUUCAAUAGGAUGCAACAAAAGGGCAUCCAACCCACAGUAGAAACUUUCAGCCAUUUAGUAAAAGGUUACUCCUCUUUGAAAAUGUAUCGCCAAAUAACAAUACUUUGGGGAGAAACUAGGAGGAGAAUAGAAGAUCAAGUUCUAAUGGCAGACAGGGACUUGUUAGAUUGCUUUCUGUGCAAUUUUAUUCAAGGCGGGUAUUUCGAGCGCGUAAUGGAUAUAGUAAAUUAUAUGUUGAAGAAUAAUAUGUUUACUGAUACAUGGAAGUAUAAAAGAGAGUUUCUUAAGCUUCACAGUGAUUUGUACUGGAGCUUAAAAGCAUCAGAUGCAAGAACAGAUGCACAGAAGUAAAAUGAACAAUGUAAAAGAUGUUUUCAAGAUAUCAUGAGAUCUUGAGUUGGUUAUUUACAGCCGGCUAAGGCCAACGGGUUGCUGUUGUGUUAUUUUUCUUCCAAAUUUCAAGCAUGUUGGUCAAAUAUGCUAGCUUGGCCUUCUCACUACCACAACAAUUUGCAUUCACGGUGAUCACCUCUUUGAACUCCAUGCUGGC